rnacentral:rRNA from 1 species
GACGAACGCUGGCGGCGUGCUUAACACAUGCAAGUCGAACGGAAAGGCCCUGCUGGUGUGGGGUGCUCGAGUGGCGAACGGGUGAGUAACACGUGAGUAGCCUGCCCUUGACGUUGGGAUAACUUCAGGAAACUGGGGCUAAUACCGGAUAGGAGCGCCUGCUGCAUGGUGGGGGUUGGAAAGGUUGGGCGGUUGGGGAUGGACUCGCGGCUUAUCAGCUUGUUGGUGGGGUAGUGGCUUACCAAGGCUUUGACGGGUAGCCGGCCUGGGGGGGUGACCGGCAACAUUGGGACUGGGAACCGGCCCAGACUCCUACGGGAGGAAGCGGUGGGAAAUUUUGCACAAUGGGCGGAAGCCUGAUGCAGCACCGCCGCGUGCGGGUUGACGGCCUUCGGGUUGUAACCCGUUUUCGCAUGUGACGAAGCGUGAGUGACGGUAAUGGGUAAAGAAGCACCGGCUAACUACGUG